ensembl:miRNA
CCUCCGAAGUUUCCCUCAGGAUAGCUGGCGCUCUCGCACGAAACUAGCUCGAACCCACGCAGUUUUAUCCGGUCAAGCGAAUGAUUAGAGGUCUUGGGGCCGAAACGAUCUCAAC